rnacentral:rRNA from 1 species
GGUUAAGCGACUAAGCGUACACGGUGGAUGCCCUGGCAGUCAGAGGCGAUGAAGGACGUGCUAAUCUGCGAAAAGCGUCGGUAAGGUGAUAUGAACCGUUAUAACCGGCGAUGUCCGAAUGGGGAAACCCAGUGUGUUUCGACACACUAUCAUUAACUGAAUCCAUAGGUUAAUGAGGCGAACCGGGGGAACUGAAACAUCUAAGUACCCCGAGGAAAAGAAAUCAACCGAGAUUCCCCCAGUAGCGGCGAGCGAACGGGGAGGAGCCCAGAGCCUGAAUCAGUGUGUGUGUUAGUGGAAGCGUCUGGAAAGGCGCGCGAUACAGGGUGACAGUCCCGUACACAAAAAUGCACAUGCUGUGAGCUCGAAGAGUAGGGCGGGACACGUGGUAUCCUGUCUGAAUAUGGGGGGACCAUCCUCCAAGGCUAAAUACUCCUGACUGACCGAUAGUGAACCAGUACCGUGAGGGAAAGGCGAAAAGAACCCCGGCGAGGGGAGUGAAAAAGAACCUGAAACCGUGUACGUACAAGCAGUGGGAGCCCUGAUUUAUCAGGGUGACUGCGUACCUUUUGUAUAAUGGGUCAGCGACUUAUAUUCUGUAGCAAGGUUAACCGAAUAGGGGAGCCGGAGGGAAACCGAGUCUUAACUGGGCGUUAAGUUGCAGGGUAUAGACCCGAAACCCGGUGAUCUAGCCAUGGGCAGGUUGAAGGUUGGGUAACACUAACUGGAGGACCGAACCGACUAAUGUUGAAAAAUUAGCGGAUGACUUGUGGCUGGGGGUGAAAGGCCAAUCAAACCGGGAGAUAGCUGGUUCUCCCCGAAAGCUAUUUAGGUAGCGCCUCGUGAAUUCAUCUCCGGGGGUAGAGCACUGUUUCGGCAAGGGGGUCAUCCCGACUUACCAACCCGAUGCAAACUGCGAAUACCGGAGAAUGUUAUCACGGGAGACACACGGCGGGUGCUAACGUCCGUCGUGAAGAGGGAAACAACCCAGACCGCCAGCUAAGGUCCCAAAGUCAUGGUUAAGUGGGAAACGAUGUGGGAAGGCCCAGACAGCCAGGAUGUUGGCUUAGAAGCAGCCAUCAUUUAAAGAAAGCGUAAUAGCUCACUGGUCGAGUCGGCCUGCGCGGAAGAUGUAACGGGGCUAAACCAUGCACCGAAGCUGCGGCAGCGACGCUGAUGCGUUGUUGGGUAGGGGAGCGUUCUGUAAGCCUGUGAAGGUGGCCUGUGAGGGUUGCUGGAGGUAUCAGAAGUGCGAAUGCUGACAUAAGUAACGAUAAAGCGGGUGAAAAGCCCGCUCGCCGGAAGACCAAGGGUUCCUGUCCAACGUUAAUCGGGGCAGGGUGAGUCGACCCCUAAGGCGAGGCCGAAAGGCGUAGUCGAUGGGAAACAGGUUAAUAUUCCUGUACUUGGUGUUACUGCGAAGGGGGGACGGAGAAGGCUAUGUUGGCCGGGCGACGGUUGUCCCGGUUUAAGCGUGUAGGCUGGUUUUCCAGGCAAAUCCGGAGAAUCAAGGCUGAGGCGUGAUGACGAGGCACUACGGUGCUGAAGCAACAAAUGCCCUGCUUCCAGGAAAAGCCUCUAAGCAUCAGGUAACAUCAAAUCGUACCCCAAACCGACACAGGUGGUCAGGUAGAGAAUACCAAGGCGCUUGAGAGAACUCGGGUGAAGGAACUAGGCAAAAUGGUGCCGUAACUUCGGGAGAAGGCACGCUGAUGGUAGGUGAAGCGACUUGCUCGUGGAGCUGAAAUCAGUCGAAGAUACCAGCUGGCUGCAACUGUUUAUUAAAAACACAGCACUGUGCAAACACGAAAGUGGACGUAUACGGUGUGACGCCUGCCCGGUGCCGGAAGGUUAAUUGAUGGGGUCAGCGCAAGCGAAGCUCUUGAUCGAAGCCCCGGUAAACGGCGGCCGUAACUAUAACGGUCCUAAGGUAGCGAAAUUCCUUGUCGGGUAAGUUCCGACCUGCACGAAUGGCGUAAUGAUGGCCAGGCUGUCUCCACCCGAGACUCAGUGAAAUUGAACUCGCUGUGAAGAUGCAGUGUACCCGCGGCAAGACGGAAAGACCCCGUGAACCUUUACUAUAGCUUGACACUGAACACUGGUCCUUGAUGUGUAGGAUAGGUGGGAGGCUUUGAAGUGUGGACGCCAGUCUGCAUGGAGCCGUCCUUGAAAUACCACCCUUUAAUGGCUGGUGUUCUAACGUAGGCCCCUUAUCGGGGUUGCGGACAGUGUCUGGUGGGUAGUUUGACUGGGGCGGUCUCCUCCUAAAGAGUAACGGAGGAGCACGAAGGUUGGCUAAUCCUGGUCGGACAUCAGGAGGUUAGUGCAAUGGCAUAAGCCAGCUUGACUGCGAGCGUGACGGCGCGAGCAGGUGCGAAAGCAGGUCAUAGUGAUCCGGUGGUUCUGAAUGGAAGGGCCAUCGCUCAACGGAUAAAAGGUACUCCGGGGAUAACAGGCUGAUACCGCCCAAGAGUUCAUAUCGACGGCGGUGUUUGGCACCUCGAUGUCGGCUCAUCACAUCCUGGGGCUGAAGUAGGUCCCAAGGGUAUGGCUGUUCGCCAUUUAAAGUGGUACGCGAGCUGGGUUUAGAACGUCGUGAGACAGUUCGGUCCCUAUCUGCCGUGGGCGCUGGAGAACUGAGGGGGGCUGCUCCUAGUACGAGAGGACCGGAGUGGACGCAUCACUGGUGUUCGGGUUGUCAUGCCAAUGGCACUGCCCGGUAGCUAAAUGCGGAAGAGAUAAGUGCUGAAAGCAUCUAAGCACGAAACUUGCCCCGAGAUGAGUUCUCCCUGAGACUUAGAGUCUCCUGAAGGAACGUUGAAGACGACGACGUUGAUAGGCCGGGUGUGUAAGCGCAGCGAUGCGUUGAGCUAACCGGUACUAAUGAACCGUGAGGCUUAACCUU